rnacentral:rRNA from 1 species
GAUGAACGCUGGCGGCGUGCCUAACACAUGCAAGUCGAACGAUGAAGCCGGAGCUUGCUCUGGUGAAUUAGUGGCGAACGGGUGAGUAACACGUGAGUAACCUGCCCUUGACUCUGGGAUAACUGCUAGAAAUGGUAGCUAAUACCGGAUACGACCCUCGGAGGCAUCUCCAGGGGGUGGAAAGAAUUUCGGUCAAGGAUGGACUCGCGGCCUAUCAGCUAGUUGGUGAGGUAAAGGCUCACCAAGGCGACGACGGGUAGCCGGCCGGAGAGGGUGACCGGCCACACUGGGACUGAGACACGGCCCAGACUCCUACGGGAGGCAGCAGUGGGGAAUAUUGCACAAUGGGCGCAAGCCUGAUGCAGCAACGCCGCGUGAGGGAUGACGGCCUUCGGGUUGUAAACCUCUUUUAGCAGGGAAGAAGCGAAAGUGACGGUACCUGCAGAAAAAGCACCGGCUAACUACGUGCCAGCAGCCGCGGUAA